AGUCACAUCUGUCAGCCGGCAUGUCUUAAAGACCAUUCUUCCGUGCUUGAAAUGAUACUUUGACUAUCAAAAAACACCGUAUGAGUGCAGGGCCCACAAAUACUGACCUCAUCACAGACACCACAGCAUCCACUGUGCUAGUGACACUGCGCUGUGUUGUUCGGGGCUAAUUACCUUCCUCUCUUUUGGGUUUUGUUUCAAUUUAAAAAAAAUUUUUUUUUUUUUUACUGUUUGUUUAUUUUUGAGAGAGAGAGUGAGCAUGACCAGGGGAAGGGCAGAGAGAGAAGGAGACACAGGAUCCGAAGCAGGCUCCAGGCUCCGAGCCGUCAGCACAGAGCUUGACGCGGGGCUUGGAACCCACAAGCCACGAGAUCAUGAUCUGAGCCGACGUCGGACGCUCAACCGACUGACCCAGACGCCCCUGUUUCAAUUUUUUUAAUUCUAAUUACUUAACAUUUGGUGUAAUAUUAGUUUCAGCAUCUUCCCUGUUCUUCAUCUUCUCUCUGCCUUUCUAGCGGUAUCUUUUUUCUUUUUUAAAAAUAAGAGAAAUGGUACUAUGUGGGUAUCUAAAAUGAUCUUGAUUUUUUACAUUCAUUCCUCACUGAUUGAAUGUUUUCUGUGUUUUCAAACACUUCGCUGAAGGAGUGAAAUACGCUCCUUGUAGGAACGUCCUAUCCCUUUGGGAGGGGCAGCUCAAGAAGCACCUCAAUUAAGAGUGUGUAGAGCCCAAGGGUGCCUGGCCAGCUCAGUCGGCAGAACAUGUGACUCUUGGUCUUGGGGUUGUGGGUUUGAGCCCCAUGUUGGGUGUAGAAAUUACUAAAAAAUAAAAUCUCUAAAAAAGAAAAGAAAGAAGGUGUAGAGCCUGAAAGAGACAUCAACUGACUGUGUCAUUGUGUAUAAACAUGAUAAAUUUUUUUAAGUUUAUUUAUUUAUUUAUUUUGAGAGAGAGAGAGGGGAAGCAAACGAAAGAACUCCAGUGGGGGAGGGGCAGGGAGAGAGAGAGAAUCCCAAGCAGGCUCCGUGCCAUCAGCACAGAGCCCGACAUGAGGCUCAAACCUGUGAACUAUGAUAUCAGGACCUGAUCUCAAGCGCCCCCAAUCAAACACCCAACCGACUGAGCCACCCAGGUGCCCCAACAUGAUAUUUGUAAGAAAGGAGAAGUGUGUGUGUGUUGUGUGUGUUUUUGGAUAACUCUAGUGACAGAGCAGACAGUGUAUGACAGGGCUGCAACAACAGACACUCGGCGUCCGUCAAAAGGUCAUGAGGGUGUGAAGGAAAGGUUACAUUUUAGACGUAUGUCCGACUCAGUGGGGUUAAAGUGUCUGCAUGUGAGCCACAGCACCUUAUUUUGCAGUGAAAAGUUUUCUAUUGAUUGACCACUGAGGUAGAUUCCACAUAAACUCUUUGUACCCUAUUCUUGCUUCUAGGAUCAUGAAAAUGUUUUAUUCAUGAAGCUUAUUCGUUGCAGAUGCCGAUAAUAGGAAAUUCAAAUACUCGAGAAUUUAAGAAGAUACACAUUUCUUUUCCUUUAACUUAAAAAAUGUUAUGAGGGGUGCCUGGGCGGCUCAGUCUGUUGAAUGUCCGACUUCGGCUCAGGUCGUGAUCUCACGGUUCAUGAGUUCGAGCCCCGCGUCAGGCUCUGUGCUGACAGCUGGGAGCCUGGAGCCUGCUUCGGAUUCUGUGUCUCCCUGUCUCUCUGCCCCUCCCCUGGUCGUGCUCAGUUUCUCUCUCUCAAAAAUGAAUAAACGUUAAAAAAAAAAAAAUUGUUUUUUAAUGUUACAAAAUACAAACUUCAAGGUUAAUAUGGUGUCUUCAGUUUCCUCACAGAUCUAGGCUCCUUUGUUUCUGUCCCUCCAUUUCAGCAUUAGGCUUCCGUUUCUGUGGUUUCUUCUUGUUCCAACAUAGCAGCUACAGCUCAGCCAUCAGGUCUUCCUUGUAGAAAGCAGAAAAGAAGAAAGGGAGUGAAAAGUGUCCAUCUUCUCUGUAAGGAAGCAGUAUGGAGUGGACACGUCUUCCCACUCCUACCUAGACUUGAAUCCCCAAUCCCCAGUGUGAUGGUCUUUGGAGGCAGGAACUUUGGGAAGUAAUUAGGUCAUGAGGACGUUGCCCUUUGUGAGUAGGGUCAGCGGCCUUCUAAGAAGAAACGCAGAGACAUGGCCUCCUUCCACUAUAUGAGGAGUAGCAGGAAGGUGGCCCUGCACGCCAGGGAGAGAGUUCUCACUGGAACUCACCCCUGAUCUUGGACAUCCCAGCCUCCAGAAGAGUGAGAAAUAAAAAUGUGUUGCUGACACCACCCCCCCCCCCCCCCCAGUCUCUGGUAAUGUGUUGUAGCAGCUCAGGCUGAUGAGAAAGGAGAAUUGAAAACCUCAUUUAUAGACCCUGGCCAGAACAUCAUCAUGGAACCACACUUCAGGCUGGGAAAUCAGGGUUCAUAUUCCAGUUGAUGAUGCCUGAAAAAUAACUAGCAUUCAGUCACUACAAGUGAGAAAAUGGAAAUGUAUUUUGGAAAGAGCUAUUUUUUUUCCAGUUACGAUUUUAAGCAGUGUUUUUGCUGAACAGAGAAAACAAAUAUAUUUAUCAAGUUUUCUGCUAAGAAAAAUUAAGUUCAAGUUUUACUUUUGUUUCUAUAAAUGUGUUUUUUUCUGGAUUAAAUCCCUAAAAAUGGGAGAUUAAUAAUAAAGUCAGAUUGUGAAUCAAAAGAUCAGUAUCUUCAACCAUAUCUGUGUUGUAAAAUGUCUCUGGUCAGACAAAAGUCUUUCACUCGGAGAAUGGACUAAAAUAUCACCUUGUUUAUGUUACACCUAGCUAUUCACCUCUUAGAAAUAAGCAGGUGGUGGUGGGGGCACCUGAGUGGUUCAGUCAGCUAAGCAUCGGACUCUAGAUUUCAGUUCAGGUCAUGAUCUCAUAGUCCAUGAGUUCGAGCCCCGCACCAGGCCCUGUGCUGACAGUGCAGAGCCUGCUUGGGAUUCUCUCUAUCUCAAAAUAAAUGAAUAAAUAAGUGAAAUUUUUAAAAAUAAGUAGGAAGAAAAUGGUUUAUAGGAAUAUUGUAUUUUUUUUUUUAAGUUAUUUAUUUUGAGAGAGAGCACACAAGCAGGAGAGGGACAGAGAGAGGGAGAGAGAGAAUCCCAAGCAGGCUCUGCACUGUCAGUGCAGAGCUGGAUGGGCACAGGGCUGGAGCUCACAAACCAUGAGAUCAUGACCUGAGCCGAAACCAAGAGCUGGACUGGACACUAGCCAACCGAGCCACCCAGGCAGGCCCUAUUCUGGGAUAUUUUGAAAACAUUGAUCAGAUUGAUACAGGUAUGCAUUCUUCCAAACUGUGAAGCCAGCAUAUUUUUAUGGGCUGCCUGGUUGUUGUUGGUAGCAAUUUGUGGGGUUUUUUCUUUGUUUUGUUUUUUAUUAAGGAAGAAUUAUUUAGAGCAGUUCUAGGUUCACAACAAAAUUGAUACACAGUGAGAGAGAGUUUGCAUACACCCCUGCUCACGCAGCCUCCCCUACCGUCAACAUCCUGCAGCGCAGUGCUACGUUUAUUAUAAUCAGCUUCCACUGACACAUCCUUAUCGCCCAAAGUCACAGCUGACGUGAGGGUUCUCUCUUGGUGUUGUACGUUGUGUGGGUUUUCAUAAAUGUCUAACGACAUGUGUCCACCUUUGUAAUAUCACACAGAAUGGUUUCACUGCUGCCCAGAAAAUCUUCCAUUUUCUGCCAGGUUGUUUCUGGGGCCACAGAAGGGUACAAAGAAAUUGCAAAGUUACUCUUGUAUAUAAAUCAUUAUAGGCUUUAAAAAGUUAUGAGGGGAUAUGGCUUCCCUCCUAUGUGGAAUUUAAGAAACAAAACAAACAGAGAAAACAAAAGAGUCACACCAAGAAACGGUCUCUUCACUCUAGAGAACACAUAGGUGGUCGCUAGAAGGAGGGGGCACAGGUGUGGGUGAAACAGGUGACAGGGAUGAAGGAGUGCACCUGUUGUGGUGAGCACCGGGUGAUGCGUGGAGGUGCUGAAUCACUCCCGUGUACACCUGAAACUCAUAGUACACUGUAUGUUAAGUCUACUGGAAUUAAAAGUUAAAAAAAAAUUUUAAGACGCAGGGGGUGCCUGGGUGGCUCAGUCGGUUUAGCGUCUCACUCUUGGUUUCUGCUCAGGUCAUGAUCUCGCGGUUCAUGGGUUCAAGCCCCGCGUCGGGCCCACUGCUGACAGCUCAGAGCCUGGAGCCUGCUUCGGAUUCUAUGUCUCCCUCUGUCCCUACCCUUCCCCAACUUGCAUUCGGUCUCUCUCAAAAAUAAGUAAACAUUUAAAAAAGAAAGAAAAUGUCAUUGUUACAGUUGAAAAGGAUUAAAGAUUGAUCAGAUGGUCUGGCGUGAAGAGUGUAAAGGACAGGAUGAGAGUCAGUGAAGAUCCCCAUGUUUUGUUUUGUAUUCCUGGGUGGAUGAUAAUGUCAUUAGCUAAAAUACCAGAAAAAAAGUCGUACAGACAGUACUCCUUGGUUUAAGAAAACCUCCAUUAUUAAUGUUCCUUUCUAUAGGUACCAAAAAAUGUCUCGUAAUACGGUCAACACGCUGCUCAUGGAGGUUAGCCUGUACAUCAGUUUUCUCUGCCCUCUCUACCAGGUCACUCGAGUUGCUUGAAGCAACACAGAUGUAUCGUCUUACAGUUCCUGAGGUCAGAAGGUCAAGUGAAUCUCUGCAGGCAAAAUAAAAUCAAGGUGUUGGCAAGGUUUUUCUUGCCGUAUUCCUUCUGGAGGCUCUUCCUUGCCUCUCCAGCUUCUAGAGGCUACCCCGCAUGUCGUGGGUGGGGUUCCUUCUGUCUUCAAACCUGCAAUGACAGGUUGAGUCCUCACAUUUUGUCACUUCAAGCUUGGUUCUCUUUUCGCUGACUGUGCCUUUAACUUCCUCUUCCAUUUAUAAGGACCCUUGUGAUUAUAUUGGGCUCACCUGGAUUAUCCAGAAUACUAUCCCUGUCUCUAAAUCAACAGAUUAGAAACCUUAAUUCCUUCUGCAUAUUCCCAGUUUCUGGGGGUUACAUGUGGAUAUGUGGGGAGAGUGAGCGUUAUUGUAUCUACUGUACCCUCUAGUUUAUGGGGUUCACAUGUCUUAUUUUAUAUUUGUCCGCACUUUUUGAAGUUAGGACAAUGCUGUGUUACUUUGGACUUUAGAUUUUAUUUUAUCUAAAAGGAAUUUAACGGAAUAUGUAAUAUCAGGUAUCUGUCAAGUACAUUGGAGGUUGAAUUUAAGACUUAGGGUGUGUGUGUGUGUGUGUAUUUUUUUUAAGUUUACUUAUUUAUCUUGAGAGAGCAAGUGUAAGUCGGGGGAGGGACAGAGAGAGAAGCAGAGAGAGAAUCCCAAGCAGGCUCCAUACUGUGAGCGCGGAGUCCAGUGUGGACUGCACUGAACCACACCCGUGAACUGAACUGUGAGAUCAUGACCAGAGCGGAAAUCAAGCCUUGGACGCUGAACUGACUGAGGCCCCCAGGCGUCCCCAGGCUUAGAGGAUACUCUGGUGAGACAGCAGAGUGCAGAGAAACUAACAGCACCUUGAGGGGGGCCUUUGGGCUUCACUGGCAUUUUGGGCAAAUUACUUUUUCUCUCUAGAAUCAUAGAAAUGAAAUUUAUGUAUUAAAUGAAGCUGUUGAACCAUAUAGUUUGUAUAUAGAUGGAAAUACUGAGCUAGUGAAAGGUCCAGUCACACAGAUCACUUUCAGGCGAAGCAAGUUGAAAAUUCAGUUUAUCUGAUUUUUAUUUUAGUCGCUAAGAAAGUGAAAGUAACCCAAGUAAAGGUGUGUUUUUUAAAUUAUUUUAUCUUUAUUGAGCUGUCAUGUACAUCCCACAUUAUAUUAAUUUCAGGUGUGCCAUAUAAUGACUUAAUAUUUGUAUAUGACAGGAUCACAAUAAGUCUAGUUAACACCUGUUAGCAUACAUAGUGACAAAAUUUUUUUCUUGCCAUGAGAACUUUUUUUUUUUUUUUUUUUUUUUUUAAGAUUUUACUUGUCAGUAAUCUCUACAGCCAGCAUGGGGCUUGAACUCACAGCCCUGAGAUCAAGGGUGGCACACUCCACUGACUGAGCCAGCCAGGUGCCCCUGCCAUGAGAACGUUUAAGAUAUAUUUUCCUGUCAAGUUCCCAGUAUGCACUACAGCAUUAUUACCUACAGUUGCCGUGCUGUGUGGGACAUUACGUCCCAUGGCUUAUUUAUUUAAUGACCGGAAGCUUUCACCUUUUGACUCCUUUCACCCAUUUCACCCAUCCCAGUCCCCUGAAAUCCCCCCGCUUCUGACAACACCAACAUGUUCUCUCUGUGAGCUUGGUAUUUUGUUUUUUGAGUUUUGGGGGUUUUGUUGUUUUUUAGAUUCCACAUGUAAUCGAAAUCGUACGGUAUUUCUCUUUUUGUGUUUGGCUUCCUUCCCUUAGCAUGAUGCCCUCACAGUCCAUCCAUGUUGUUGCAGAUUUCAAGAUGUCAUUCAUUUUUAUGGCUGAAUAAUGUUCCGUUCUGUUUGUAUAGCACAUCUCCAUCCAUUCGUCUGCCGGCAGACAUGAAGGAAGGUUGUUUUCAUAUCUCGUAAAUAAUGCUGCAGGGAGCAUGGGGUUGCAAGUGUCUUGUCCAGGUGAUGUUUUCGGUUUCUUUGGAUACGUACUCAGAGGUGGAGUUGCAGGAUCUUAGGGUAUGUCUAUUUUUAAUUUUGAGAGGCACCUUCAUGCUGUUUUCCACAGUGGCCAUACCAACUUACAUUGCCACCCAUAGUGCAUGUGGGCUCCCUUUUCUCCUCAUCCCUAUUAGUAAGUAAUAGACACUUACUGUUUCUUAUCUUUUUGGUAACAACCAUUCUGACAGGUGUGAAGUGUUGUUGUGGUUUUCUGUGUCCAUCUCCCUGAUGGCUGGUGAGAUUGAGCAUCUUUUCAUGUACCUGUCAGCCUUCUGUGUAUGUGUCGUUGGGAAAAUGCCUAUUCAGUUCAGAUCCUGUGCCCAUUGUUUAAUCAGAUUGUUCUUUUACUACUGAGUUGUAGGAGUUCUUUAUAUUUUUUGAAUAUUAACCUAUUAACGGAUGCAUGAUUUACCAAUAUUUUCUUUCAUUCAGUAGGUUGCCUUUUCAUUUGGUUGACGAUUUUCUUUGUUGUACAGAAGACCUUUAGUUGGAUGCAGUCCCUCCGUUCAUUUUUGCUUUUCUCGCCUUUGCUUUUGGCAUCAAACCCAAAAAUUCGUUGCAAGGCUGAUGUCCCAAGUAAAGUGUUAAAAACAAAAUUAACUUCAUAUUUUAAGGGCGCCCCUAAGUUGAUUUAUUUUGAGAGAGUGAGAGAGAACAUGCCCGUGCAGGCAGGGGAGAGGCAGAGAGAGGGGGAGAGAGAAUCCCAAGCAGGCUCUGUGCAGUCAUCGCAGGGCAGGGCCCAACUCGCAGUUUGAUCCCACGAACCCUUGAUAAUCACGACCUGAGAGAGUUGGUCGUUUAACUGAGCCCCCUGGCCCCCCGCCCCCGGCUCCCUUGUGUUUUAAUGUUUUCAGUUAAUGAACUGAUUGCACUUAAAUAUACAUGACAUAAAAUUAACCAUUUUAAUAACUUUAAGUGCACCGUUCGGUAGCAUCAAACACAUUACCUUGUGCGACCGUCACCACUGUUCACCUCCAGCACUUGCUCAUUUUCCCAAACUGAGUGUUUUCUCUCUGAAGUGUGAAUUCUAGCGGCUCCUCCCCCGCUACCCAAGUGAAGUGACGCGUGUAAGGUGAGUAGCGCAUGGUAGACAGUGAACCUGGGCUGUGUCUGCAGCGUCUCACGUCCCCAGGACUUGUUUCCUGUCCUCUUUCUUCUGCUCAGCAGUUUUAUCGAGAUGUAGGGGUGCCUGGGGGGCUCAGUCAGUUGAGUGUCCAGCUUCAGCUCAGGUCCUGACCUCACAGUUCAUGAGUUCGAGCUCCCCGUUGAGUUCUGUGCUGACAGCCCGGAGCCUGGAGCCUGUUUCACAUUCUGUGUCUCCUUCUCUCUCUGCCCCUGUCCCACUUGUGCUCUGUCCCUCUCUCCCUCAAAAACAAACAAACAUAAAAAAAAAAAAAACCCUAAUAAAAAAAUUGAGGUGUAAUUCGUAUACCAUAUACUUAACCAGUUUUGAGUGUAGAAGUCAACAGUUUUGGGUAUAUUACAUUAAUUGUACAUGCAAGUGUAAAUACUUAUAUAAUAUCUGAAUUUUAUUUUCAUUUGUAUGAUUUAUAUUUUAUUAUUAGAAUAGAAUUAAUUUUUAUUGUGGUAAAGUACGUGUGGCAGAAUUUACCAUUUUCCUCAUUUUUAAGUGUACGAUUCAGCGUCAUUAAUCGCAUUCACAGUGUUGUGUAGUCAUUACCACUGUCUGUUUCCAAAAUGUUUCCUUGCUCCAAACAGAAACUCUGUAACCAUGAAGCAAUAACUCCCCACACACACCCCAGCCUCCAGUCGUGUCUGAUGUGCUUUCAGUUUCUAUGAAUUUGCCUACACUUGCUGCCCCAUGAAAGUGGAAUCGUGUGACAUUUGUGCUUCUCUUGGUCCGGAUUAUUGAAUUUAGCAUAAUACCUUCACUGUUCAUUUAUGUUUUAGCAUGUGGCAGAAUGUCGGUCCUUUUUAUGGCCACAUAAUGUUCCAUUGUGUAGGGUAUGCCACGUUGUUUCCUUGUUCAUCUAUGGAUGAACGUUUGGGUUGUUUCUGCCUUCUGGCUGUCGUGAAUAAUUCCCUGUGAACACUGGCAUACGUUUAUGUGGUCAGGUCCCUGCUUUUGAUCCUAAGCGUAUACGUUAUCCAUGGGACUAGAAGAAGCUGUGUUUAGCUUUUUGACGAACCACCAAACUUUUCCGUAAUGGCUGUGCCACUGACUGUUCGUCAUGAAGUUAUUGACUUGAGAUCUUUCUUUUACUUGAAUGUUUGUUUUUUUACCUAUAAAUUUCCUUCUAAGUACUGUUUUUACUGCAUCAGAUAAGUUUGGGGGUUUUUUGUGUUUGCAUUCUCAUUCAUUUGAAGAUAGUUUCCACUUUCCCUUGUGAUUUCUUAUUUGAGCUAUGGGUUAAGAGUGUGUUGUUUGAUUUCCACACAUUUGUGGUUUUUCCAGUUUUCCUGAUCAGAAAAAAAUAUUCGGUAUGAUUUCAGUCUUUUAAAAUCUAUUAAGACUUAUUUUGUAGCCUGACAUAUGACCCUUCCUGUAGAGUCUUCUGUGCGCAGUUGAGAAAACCCUAUAAUCUUCUGUUGUUGGAUGGAGUGUUCCUUAUAUUUCUGUGAGAUCUAUUUGGUUUAUAAUGUUCAAAUCCACACUGACCUGUGUGGUUGUUCUAACCAUUAUUGAAAUUGGUUGAAGUCUCCAGCUGUUCCUAUACGGCUGUUUCUCCCUUCAUUCUUAUGAAUGUUGCCUUCACAUAUUUUGGGUCCUUUGAUGUUUGGUGAAUAUAUGUUUCUAAUGAUUAUGGCUUCUAUGUGAAUAGACUCUUGUCAGUAUUUCAUGUUCUUCUGUGUCUCUCGUAAGAGUUUUGACUUGAAGUCUCUUUUGUCUGAUAUUGGGGUUGUCAUUCUGCUCUCUCUUGGUUACUGUUUACAUGGAAUAUCUUAUCUUUUUUCCAUCCUUUUACUUUCAGCCUAUUUGUGUCCUUGGAUCUAAGGGGAGUCUCUUGGAGACAGUACAUCGUUGAGUCAUGUUUUGUAUCCAUUUUGUUUCUCUCUGCCUUUUGUUUGGAGAGUUUCAUCCACUUACGUUUAAAAUAAUUACCAAUAAGGAAGGGCUUAUACUUCCCGUUGUGUUGUUUCCAUGUCUCACGGCUUUUUAUCCCUCAUGCCCUCCAUUACUGUCUUCUUUUGUGCUUCGUUGAUCUUUUUGUAGUGACAUGUUUUGAUUCCCUUCAUCCCCUUUUGGGUGAAUUCUAUAGCUAUUUUCUCUGUUGUUACCAUGGAGAUUACAUAUAACUUCCCAAAGAUGUAACUGUGUAAUUUGAGUUGAUGCCAAGUUAAUUUCAAUUACAUAGAAAAACUUUACUUUUUCUUUUUUUUUGGAAAUAAGCUCUACUCCCACUGUGGGUCUUGAACUCAUGACCCUGAGGUCAUGAGUUGGAAGCUCCACCAACUGAGCCAGCCAGACCCCUUUUAUGUUAUUGGUGUUACAUAUUACAUCUUUUUUUUUAAUUUUAUUUUCUUUAAUUUACAUCCAAAUUAGUUAGCAUAUAGUGCAACAGUGAUUUCAGGAGGGGUGCCUGGGUGGCUCAGUCGGUUGAGUGUCCGACUUCGGCUCAGGUCAUGAUCUCACGGUCUGUGAGUGCAAGCCCCGCGUCAGGCUCUGUGCUGACAGCUCAGAGCCUGGAGCCUGCUUCAGAUUCUGUGUCUCUGCCCCUCCCCCAUUCAUGCUUGCGCGCGCGCUCGCUCUCUCUC